rnacentral:lncRNA from 1 species
AUGACAUGAAAGAUAUUUUCAUUUUGUCAAAUUGGGUUUUAUAUAUGUAUUAUGUAUUAGAAUUGAAUUUUGAAUUACAUUCUCUGUAAAAUUAAUUGAAUAAGAAAGGGGAGUUUCUCUAAACUUUUGCUUGUUGACAUUUUUCCUUCCCCAUCCUUUAGAGAGCGCGUGUCUUUUUGUAGCUAUCUUUUUCUGUAACAUAUGCCACUCUAAGACUCUCAUAACCAAACCCCAUAUUAACUUUUAUCUUUUAAAAUUAUUCUUAAAUACUUGAAGACAAAACACACUUAUUAGCAUAACUUACUAAAAAUAAUCUCUGAAAAAUGACCUUUUAGAAUAAGUGUUUUUAUAUCAUAAAUAAUGUUUCAUAUGGUAAGGGAAGUCAAUGAUGGUUAGUAUGUUACUGCACUUAGUAUUCUAUGUUUUUGUCAUAAGAAAUAUUACUUUAGGCAUUGUCCCUAUUAAAAACCACUUCAACAUAUAGAUUAAUAUUCUAAAUGUAUGCAUCUUUAAUCUGUGUUCUCUGAAUUCAAGGUAUUAUUAUUGAACAAUUUAAUUGUA